rnacentral:rRNA from 1 species
UCUAGCUUCGAGAAGUUGAUCAUGAUUCAAACAAGAGGCGACAAAACCACAACGUAGAACUUGACUUUACCUCCCUUCAUCACUCUGUAUCGGAAGUCCUCUCGGGUGUCAAGGUCAUUAACGUUUUAAAUAUGGUUGUGAUGGUCUACGUACUACGGGACUGUUGGCCUUUGUAGUUCUGGCGUCUACCUAUAUUCUUCGAAAAUAGUUUCAGAAGGGAAAGACUGCUAACUCUCUUAAAGAUACCUUCUAUAUAAAUUGACACAAAAAACUAAUACGUAGACAUGCACAGACACGAGUUGACUUAGCACAAACGAACCACACUGGAGAGGGUCUUGUUCUUCGAAUACUCGUUCUUCACCAUCUUGACCUCCCCUUACGAUCUCGAAAAGAUAAUACUGGUAGUUCUAUCAUCUCGAAUAGCAAAAUUUAUCGUUACGUACAACUCACCACUAGUAUAAAUGAGACAGAACAACCGGUACAUGAUUUUUACUACGAUGGUACAGAGUAGUUCUAUACAUACGAACACUAUACGAGUUAGGCCCUACCAGGUCAGACUACAAUCAAUACGAAGUUUGCCACCGAAACGUCACUGUUAGUAUAAGUUGAAGAAAAACGUAUUAAUCACUACCUCAUGUUCGGUGACUUUACACGUACAAAAACG